GUAGGCUGGUGGCUACAGCUCCAAUUAGACCCCUAGCCUGGGAACCUCCAUAUGCCACAGGAGUGGCCCUAGAAAAGACAAAGAAAAAAAAAAUCACCAUUUUACUGUGGUUUUGAUUUGCAUUUCCCUGAUAGUUACUGAUGGUGAACAUCUUUAUAGGUACCCAUUGGCCAUUUGUAUGUUUUUUUGGAAAAAGCCUGCUCAGUUUCUCUACCCAUUUUAUAAUUGGAUUGUUUGUUUUUGUUAUUUAUUUUUGUGAAUUCUUUAUAUAUUUUGGAUAUUUACCCCUUAUGUGAUAUAUAGGAAAAUUUGCAAAUAUUUCCUCCCAUUCCAGAGAUUGCCUUUUAAUUCUGUUGAUUGUUUCUUUUGAUGUACAGAAGCUUUUUAGUAUGAUGUAGUCCCACUUGUUUGUUUUUGCUUUUGUUACUUGUAUUUUUUUGCGUCAUCUCCGAAAAAGUCAUUACAAAGAGCUAUGUCAAGGAACUGUUUCACUAUGUUUUCUUCUAGGAGUUUUGCAGUUUCAGGUCUUACAUUUAUGUUUUUAACCUAUUAUGAGUUAAUUUUGGGGAGAAGUGUAAGGUAGGGGUCCAAUUUUUUUUUAUAUGUGAUUAUUCAGUUUUCCCAACACUUAUUGAAGAAACUAUCCUUUCUCCGUAAAAGUGUUCUUCAGCUCCCUUGUCAAAUAGUAGUUGACAGGUUAAUUUUUUCAUAUUAAAUCUGAGAAAUUAUUAGCCACUAUUUAUUCACAUUUUUCAGCCACUGUCUCUUUGUUCUCUCCUUCUGUGACUUCCAUCUGCAUACAUUGAUAGUUUCAUGGCUUCCUGCAGGUAUCUGAGGCUCUGUUCAUUUUUCUUUCUGUUUCUUGGUCUAGAUAAUCUGAAUUGACCUGUUUUCUGAUUCUUUUCCCUCCUAGUUCUUCUGUGAAGAAGCAGUAAAGAAUAAUGUUGGAGUGGGCACUGCUUUAAGUAUGGUACAUACGGAAGGUCUCUGAGGAGGUGACAUUAAGUUGAGACUUGGUCACAGGUGAAGGUGCUUUUUUCUACCUCGUAGAAGCACACCUCUGCUCCUUCUCUCUGGAACAGUUCCACAUUGUCUCAGCACCAUUUCCAAGCAGAAAAUGGGAAAGGCAUUAUGGAAGGAGGCAAGCAAAGGCAAGGCAGUGGAUGGACGUGGGAAACUGCCACACACCAUCUCUUGAGGAUACGAAAGGAGACAAGAUUUUAAAAAAAUGUUGCUAAAAAUACGUGCAGGUUUUUAAAAAAGCUGAUUUCAUCUCUGAUUAGUGGCCAAGGCAACAGUCAGUACAGAUUAAAAAGAAGUUGCAUGCAAUGAGAAGGAGAGGGGCUCUGAGUCAGUAAAAUUUGGGAGCUCAACUGAUUUCUGCAGGUAUUCAUGCCUGAUUGGAAAGCUGUUUGGAGGCUAGGUAGCAUCCAGAAGCAUAAUUCUAUCUCAGAGUGGCUUGGUGUAUGGAGUUCACCAUGAAGAAAGGCAUGCUAGCUGCCAUGUGGCAAGAAACCAAGGCCUCCUGCAAACAGGCAUGUGUAUGAGCCAUCCAAUGGUGGCUCCUUCAGCCCCAGUCAGACCUUCAGGUGAGACAACAGCAUCUGCCAGCAUCAUAACCUCCACCUUAUGAGAGACUCUGAGCCAGAGCUACCCAGAAACCCAACUAGCCUUAAGUAGGCACGGUUUUCCAAGUCCUGGCCACUGGUGUCCCUAAGAGAUUUCAGGGAGAAGCAGUUUUGGCAGAGGCUUAGAGCCAGAGGCCGGCCAGUGAAGGGAACAAUGUCUGGGUUUUGAGAACAGCUGGAGCUUUGGAGGGAGAAAAGCAGCUUGGCGAAUGAGGAAAGAAUGUGCUUGUCACUUCAAGAGGCGAGAAACUUCGAUUUCCCUCCUGACACUGCCAACAAGUUUCAUUGGAAAGGACAGAGUGGUGGUGAUGGCAGGUUUGUUUUGUGUUGCUCUGGCUUUACCAGGCGUUGUCCACUUUUUGGAAAACUGCAUCGCCUGAAGCAGCCCUAAUGGUGGUACUGAAGUUGCCGGAGUAACCCCCAUAUCUGCUUGUAGCUGUCAUGUGAAUGGUGGCUUCUGGGUUUCUAGGAGGGAGAAGCCUACACAUUUACACACUGAAAUAGAUUCUACAUUAUUGUGAA
rnacentral:lncRNA from 1 species